rnacentral:lncRNA from 1 species
UUCCACACUGAACGUUUGCAUCAGACUUCCUUCUGAUAAUAGCAGGUUCGUCCCACAUACUAGAGCUGACAAACGCCAUAUUCACGCCAAGGAAUUUUGAAAGCAAAUAUGUCACAUUAAUGAUGAUGACGAUGACGACGACGACGAAGAUGGUCAGAAAAUGAUUAGGAAAGAACACCCUGGCAGCCUUUGUUGCUAGAAUCUGCUCAUGGGCAAAUGGCAAAGCUAUUCACAUGGAAGACAUUAAACCAUCAAGUGAGUCACAGUGUGUGUGGGGGGGUGGGGGGGGUGAAGAAAGUGUUAUCUUAAUUCUUUUCUAAAGAGAGCAUGUUUGGGAUCGAUCAGAAACCUGUAAUCCACCCAGGUGAUGCUAAAAUUAAGGUAGAGAAGCAGAGCCCUGGAUGAGUGGGACACUUUCUUGAGUCAAAAGUGACUCAAUGUGACUGCAGGGGCGGGGGGAGAAUUAAGAUGGGCUUUGUAGGAGCCUAAAGUUUCUAACCAAUGGGCCAGCAAGAGUGAGGGGCGCAUGGCUCUUUGCGCAUGCGCCUUCGGGGCCCAAGUCUGCCCCUCUCCGGUUUAGCACCAAGAGGAUGAGACAGCUGCAGCUGAGAUUGGAAGCUGACUGUGCACAGGGUGCACUGUCAUUUCUUCUGCAAAGCACCGUAGUAUUCCUGUUUGAUCUGAGCCUGGGGUCACUGUGUCAGGACUGCCGGUGAAGAAGAGAAAGUAACUCACAAAGAAAAAUGACACGUUCUCCAGGAUCACACAGGGUAUCCAGUGCACACAUCUGAAGAUUCCUCUCCUGCCAGCCCUUAGAGUGAAUCUGUGAAUGUGGCUGUUCUGAGAUUACCACCAUAUCAAGCUUGGGCAUCCUUUCUUACACUCAGCUCUGUUUCUAGCUCAUCUUGCCUCUCACAGUGCAACUAAGAGCAAGCUCCGUACGCUGCUUUCACCGUACCUUAAGGAAACCCUCCACGGCCCUGUCUAUCUUCCUGCUGAAGUUGACUAAGGUCAGCCACAGUGGGGAAUGAGAUCUGCUUCUUCCUCCACUCGUGUGCACCUUAGCUUUGCAGCCCCCCUCCCCUGCUGCCUUCUUUGGGUGCUCGGUAGAAUGCCGACUCCAGUUGACCCCUUGAUCACCGAGACGUCCCCACUCAUAGACUGAUGCUCUGUUUAUCAUAAGGGGUCACUAAAUAUUUGCUAAAUGAGUGGAUGAAAUUAUUUCACCAAGGAUACACUGAAAGACUUAAAUCUCCUUCCACAUUUCCUAAAAAUGUUCUUCUUUUUUGUUAAUGAGAAACUUCUGAAUAAGGAUUCUUAUGAUUUGUUAUAUUUUAUGCUUCUUUUUUAACUUAUGUAUUUAUUUGCUAUGUUGAGGGUUGAACCCAUUGCCUCCAGCUUGCUAGGCAAAUCCUCUUCCAUGGAACAACGUCCCCAUGCCCAAAACUUGCUAUGUUUUAAAGUUGCCAUCUGUCAAGUCAGGGUUUUAAAUGUCUAUGAAGCAAUUGCAUUUAACUCUGCUAUUCAAAGAUAAUAACAGAAUUUAUAGAAAUUUAAUUCUUAGUGUUGGGACACCAACUUAACAUAGGGUGGCAAAUGACUCUUUGCUCUGGCCAGUUGAUGCCUAGCUGAGACAAAAGUAUUAAGGUGUCAGAGGCUCCUCCCGCAUGGGACCCAGAGACUGAGGCUCUGCUAUCUGCUGCAAGCUGUAAGACACUACAUGCUUGCAUUCCCUUCCUUUCUAUCAAGGUACUCACCAUACGCCCAACCUGGCCUUCAAGGAUUCAACCCAGUCCUCCCCUCCCAUGCUUUCAUAGGACUCCCUAGGCACAACAUUUUUCUCAUUGGUGAAGCUUCUCAUAACAAUUUAACAUGUUAAGAUAUGAUUUGUCCUAUGCAUGUUUGGUGUACUGGUCUUCACUGGUUUAUGAGAGAAGGGUCCAUCAUCCUUCUCUCUGAGCUCAGUCUGCCUCCUGCUUUGUAGCACUGAAUGCCCACAGAUGCUCACAACGUACUUUCUUGAAUAAAUAAACAGCUCUGUCAAUGCAGGUAGACAUAACAGAUGGCUGGCGUGUUGGCAUGAGGCAUGAGGCUGCCUGGCCCGUUAGCGAAGCGGGCGAGAGGGGCAGUUCGCAUCUGUUGGAGGGCUAGCAGGGGAAGGCCGCAGAUACGGAGGUAGGCAGGGCUGAGGAAGGCUGUAGAUAUGGAGAUAGGUGGGGCUGGAGAUUGGGGUGGUAUGGGUACAUUGCUGGGAUUCAUAGCAACUCUGCCUCUUGUUUCUCAUCCCAGGCAACUAGAGGUGUUUUUUUCCUAUAUCACAGCUCGGUAUUAAGACCAAAGGAGAAAUGAACUUUGAAGUGGUGGCCCCAUUGUUGUAGAUAGCAAUAUUGUUCUACAUAACUUGUUUGUGGUUCGUGUUGCUCACAUGAACAUUCGGACGCACAUCUGCCACGGACCCGUAAUGAGUUAUAAACUGAGAAACCUGAGCGUCAUACCUUUUCCUAUUCCUCAUAUUUCCAAGGCUGGAGUUCUCAGACUAUUGGACACAGCUGGGCAAUCAAGAGGACUUGAAAAAGAACACUAAUCUAUUUGAUAAGAGCUCCACCCCACGGCCUGACCACCUCCCAAGGGCUCUCCGACGGGUGACAUUUCAUCUCAUGGAAGGAACUCGAACUUUCAGUCACUGUGACUCUUCUGGUUGUUGUCCCCUGGUUUGUUAGACUCUUGUCAUCAGCACCGAGCUUACCGGUGUGACUUUACGAAGUGACAUGCCAUGACUAGACAGAAGCUUCCAGUGAGUGCACGGAUUUUUCUUCUAUAAAAAAUGGAAUAUCUCAAACAGCAAGCAGGUCCUCGGUCCUCAGUGGAAACCAUCAGGGCAAGUGUACAAUGACCUAGGUUCUAACUUCCUCAUUUGCACUGGCUUGUCUUAAAGGGAAAAGCCACAUCCCUGGACUCGCUGAGGUGGUCUGUCAGAUGCGAUAACCUGGCUAGGAGCGGGAAACACAAGUUUCAACUGAAAUCUGCUCCAGAUUUUAAUCAUGGUCAUGGGCCCUUUUCUGGGGCUAUUUCACUACAGAUACCUGUUAAAAUUUAUUCCAGUUUAAGGAAGUUUCUGUAUCUAUAGUCAAGGAAAUUCUGGAAUCUUUCUUAUAAGUGAGUAUCAGUAAUGUCACUUGCAGAACAGGGCUGCCAGGAGCCUCAGCUUCUUGCUCAUUGCUGUCUUCACAGGGCUAAGGUUAAUCCUCAGCCGUGGCCAGCCUUCUAGGUAAUGGCGUUUUUAUAGGAUCUUGAAAGAUGACUCUUUAAAAUUAUUUUAUUUCCUCUAACUUAAGGUACAGUGCUCUUGCCCAGAAGGAAACAGUCAUUUCCUAGGAAAAGGGAAACCACACUUCCUGGGGAUGUGACAGCCUCUUUGUCUACCAGCUACUCCUUUGACUGUAAGGGCAGAAAACGAAAAGCAGGUGCCAUCUGAAGGGAAUGAUCCAGGCUAUGGCUCGCAGUAGGCAGAGCUCAGGCUGAGAAGCAAAGCCCAGGCUGGCUUCCAGCCAGGUGACCCUGUCACUCAUUCCUCUAGGUUUGGAUUUCCCCAUAUGUGCCAAUAAAGGAUCUGCAAACCCCUGU